rnacentral:rRNA from 1 species
AUGGCAAAUCUGACCAACUUCUUUAAAGAAAAACAGAUUUUGGUUGCUCGUUGUGGGGUUCAGACGAAGGACCUGAACGUGACAACAACAUUUGCAUGCAUGGUAAUGGUAGGCCAGGUACCUGAAUGUGAGAACAAGAUUUGCAUGCAUGCCAUUACUGAUGUUCUCAUUUUCUUUGUUCAGCUAAAGAAAAUUCUUUGUUCAGACAGCACACCCUGCUUGUUGCUCACGGACGCUAUGCACCAGAUGAACCAGACCAGGGACUGGAUUGCAAAAUCGAACUUCUUUAAAGAAAGCCGGGCCAGGGAGCAAAAUUUAAUUUGA